rnacentral:rRNA from 1 species
UACGAAGGGUGCAAGCGUUACUCGGAAUUACUGGGCGUAAAGCGCACGUAGGCGGCUUUGUAAGUUAGAGGUGAAAGCCCAGAGCUCAACUCUGGAACUGCCUUUAAGACUGCAUCGCUUGAAUCAUGGGAGGAGGUUAGUGGAAUUCCGAGUGUAGAGGUGAAAUUCGUAGAUAUUCGGAAGAACACCAGUGGCGAAGGCGACUAACUGGACAUGUAUUGACGCUGAGGUGCGAAAGCGUGGGGAGCAAACAGG